rnacentral:rRNA from 1 species
AGAGUUUGAUCCUGGCUCAGGAUGAACGCUAGCUACAGGCUUAACACAUGCAAGUCGAGGGGCAGCAUGUUGGUUGCUUGCAACCAAUGAUGGCGACCGGCGCACGGGUGAGUAACGCGUAUCCAACCUACCCUUGUCCAUCGGAUAACCCGUCGAAAGGCGGCCUAACACGAUAUGCGGUUCACAGCAGGCACCUAAGGUGAACGAAAUGUGAAGGAGAAGGAUGGGGAUGCGUCUGAUUAGCUUGUUGGCGGGGUAACGGCCACCGAAGGCUACGAUCAGUAGGGGUUCUGAGAGGAAGGUCCCCANAUUGGAACUGAGACACGGUCCAAACUCCUACGGCAGGCA